CAUAUUAAAGUUUAUUAUGAAUUUUUCCGUUACACUGAAAGGGUCUCAUUAGUUGAGUAAUAUGAAAA
rnacentral:tRNA from 1 species